ensembl:snoRNA
AUAUUAGGCAAUGACUCCCCAUUUGGGGGGAAGAUUUUUAGUCAUCUUUGCCAGCUACAGCUAUGUAGGAGGAAUAAAGACCACACUCCACAAAGGGCUAUACCAUAUAUGUAUAUUGCAUUAUUAUUUUGUGGCCUAGAGA